UACGGGGGGAGCAAGCGUUGUUCGGAUUUACUGGGCGUAAAGGGCGCGUAGGCGGCCUCUGCAAGUCGACUGUGAAAUCUCCGGGCUUAACCCGGAACGGUCAGCCGAUACUGCAGGGCUAGAGUGCAGAAGGGGCAACUGGAAUUCUCGGUGUAGCGUGAAAUGCGUAGAUAUCGAGAGGAACACCUGCGGCGAAGGCGGGUUGCUGGGCUGAUACUGACGCUGAGGCGCGAAAGCCAGGGGAGCGAACGGG
rnacentral:rRNA from 1 species